rnacentral:tRNA from 1 species
AGGAUUAUAGUUAAAAUUAUAACAUUUAAUUUGCAUUUAAAAAUUAUUGAAAAAUCAAUUUAUCUUA